rnacentral:rRNA from 1 species
AACGAACGCUGGCGGCAGGCUUUACACAUGCAAGUCGAGGGGGCAGUUUACUGUCACCGGCAGACGGGUGAGGAACACGUGGGAACAUACCUUUUAGUACGGAAUAACUCAGGGAAACUUGUGCCAAUACCGUAUACGCCCUUCGGGGGAAAGAUUUAUCGCUAAAAGAUUGGCCCGCGUUUGAUUAGCUAGUUGGUGAGGUAAUGGCUCACCAAGGCGACGAUCAAUAGCUGGUCUGAGAGGAUGAUCAGCCACAUUGGGACUGAGACACGGCCCAAACUCCUACGGGAGGCAGCUGUGGGGAAUAUUGGACAAUGGGCGAAAGCCUGAUCCAGCCAUGCCGCGUGAGUGAUGAAGGCCUUAGGGUUGUAAAACUCUUUUACCCGGGAAGAUAAUGACUGUACCGGGAGAAUAAGCUCCGGCUAACUUCGUGCCAGCCGCCGCUGUAA